CGCGUGGGGGAGGGCUCUUGGGUUGUAAACCCCUUUUCUCUGGGAAGAACCGAUGACGGUACCAGAGGAAUCAUCAUCGGCUAACUCCGUGCCAGCAGCCGCGGUAAGACGGAGGAUGCAAGCGUUAUCCGGAAUGAUUGGGCGUAAAGCGUCCGCAGGUGGCAUGUCAAGUCUGCUGUCAAAGACCGGGGCUCAACCUCGGAAAGGCAGUGGAAACUGAACAGCUAGAGUAUGGUAAGGGCAGAGGGAAUUCCCGGUGUAGCGGUGAAAUGCGUAGAGAUCGGGAAGAACAUCGGUGGCGAAGGCGCUCUGCUGGACCAUAACUGACACUCAGGGACGAAAGCUAGGGGAGCGAAUGGGAUUAGAUACCCCCCGUAAACGAUGGAUACUAGGUGUU
rnacentral:rRNA from 1 species